UCGACGCGGGCACUUGUGCCCGAGUGGCGAACGGGUGAGUAAUACAUAAGUAACCUGGCCUUUACAGGGGGAUAACUGCUGGAAACGGCAGCUAAGACCGCAUAGGUAGGGACACUGCAUGGUGACCGUAUUAAAAGUGCUGCAAGGCACUGGUAGAGGAUGGACUUAUGGCGCAUUAGCUGGUUGGUGAGGUAACGGCUCACCAAGGCGACGAUGCGUAGCCGACCUGAGAGGGUGACCGGCCACACUGGGACUGAGACACGGCCCAGACUCCUACGGGAGGCAGCAGUAGGGAAUUUUCGGCAAUGGGGGGAACCCUGACCGAGCAACGCCGCGUGAAGGAAGAAGGAAUUCGUUCUGUAAACUUCUGUUAUAAAGGAAGAAAGACGGAUGGAGGAAAUGACAUCCGAGUGACGGUACUUUAUGAGAAAGCCACGGCUAACUACGUGCCAGCAGCCGCGGUAAUACGUAGGUGGCAAGCGUUAUCCGGAAUUAUUGGGCGUAAAGAGGGAGCAGGCGGCAGCAAAGGUCUGUGGUGAAAGACUGAAGCUUAACUUCAGUAAGCCAUAGAAACCGGGCAGCUAGAGUGCAGGAGAGGAUCGUGGAAUUCCAUGUGUAGCGGUGAAAUGCGUAGAUAUAUGGAGGAACACCAGUGGCGAAGGCGACGAUCUGGCCUGCAACUGACGCUCAGUCCCGAAAGCGUGGGGAGCAAAUAGGAUUAGAUACCCUAGUAGUCCACGCCGUAAACGAUGAGUACUAAGUGUUGGAAGUCAAAUUUCAGUGCUGCAGUUAACG
rnacentral:rRNA from 1 species